GACGAACGCUGGCGGCGUGCUUAACACAUGCAAGUCGAACGGAAAGGCCCUGCUUUUGUGGGGUGCUCGAGUGGCGAACGGGUGAGUAACACGUGAGUAACCUGCCCUUGACUUUGGGAUAACUUCAGGAAACUGGGGCUAAUACCGGAUAGGAGCUCCUGCUGCAUGGUGGGGGUUGGAAAGUUUCGGCGGUUGGGGGUGGACUCGCGGCUUAUCAGCUUGUUGGUGGGGUAGUGGCUUACCAAGGCUUUGACGGGUAGCCGGCCUGAGAGGGUGACCGGCCACAUUGGGACUGAGAUACGGCCCAGACUCCUACGGGAGGCAGCAGUGGGGAAUAUUGCACAAUGGGCGGAAGCCUGAUGCAGCAACGCCACGUGCGGGAUGACGGCCUUCGGGUUGUAAACCGCUUUCGCCUGUGACGAAGCGUGAGUGACGGUAAUGGGUAAAGAAGCACCGGCUAACUACGUG
rnacentral:rRNA from 1 species